rnacentral:lncRNA from 1 species
CAACUUCUCGGGGAUAUUUUGCUGUAGGAACACAUUUUGAGAAACAUCAUUCCAUUGUUUGCUGAGAACGCUGUGGUGCAGAAGAGAAGCACACCCGUAACAGACAUCUUUCCUCUCCAGGAUAAAAACAGGAGAGGAAUUUAAAGAACUGGUUCAACUUCACAACUCCAGGCUGAAUACUCAUUCUUCUAAAACAAGUGGAUGUGAGUUAUACAUACCCUCAGACAUUCUAAGGGAGGGAAUUA